GAGUUUGAUCCUGGCUCAGAACGAACGCUGGCGGCAGGCCUAACACAUGCAAGUCGAACGAAGUCUUCGGACUUAGUGGCGCACGGGUGCGUAACGCGUGGGAAUCUACCCUUAGGUGCGGAAUAACAGUUAGAAAUGACUGCUAAUACCGCAUAAUGACUCCGGUCCAAAGAUUUAUCGCCUAAGGAUGAGCCCGCGUAAGAUUAGCUAGUUGGUGAGGUAAAAGCUCACCAAGGCGACGAUCUUUAGCUGGUCUGAGAGGAUGAUCAGCCACACUGGGACUGAGACACGGCCCAGACUCCUACGGGAGGCAGCAGUGGGGAAUAUUGGACAAUGGGCGAAAGCCUGAUCUAGCCAUGCCGCGUGAGUGAUGAAGGCCUUAGGGUUGUAAAGCUCUUUUACCAGGGAUGAUAAUGACAGUACCUGGAGAAUAAGCUCCGGCUAACUCCGUGCCAGCAGCCGCGGUAAUA
rnacentral:rRNA from 1 species